rnacentral:rRNA from 1 species
GUUGAUUCAGACUAGCCAUGCACGUCUAAGUACAAACUAAAUGAUGGUGAAACUGCAAAUGGCUCAUUACAACGGUUAUGAUGUACCCGGGAGUUCCGAUGGAUAUUUCCAGUAACACUAGAACUAAUACAUGUCCCUGCGUUUAUUAGUUUCGCACAAUCCGUCGCUGAGUCAUGGUAAACAGUUGAUCGACUCGACGUCCCGGAACAGUUUCCGCCCCAUCAGCUUCGAUGGUUGGGUAUUGGCCUACCAUUGCAACAACGGGUAACGAGGAAUUAGGGUUUGAUUUCGGAGAGGGAGCCUGAGAAACGGCUACCACAUCUACGGAUGGCAGCAGGCGCGCAAAUUACCCAAUGCAGACACUGUGAGGUAGUGACGAGAAAUAAUAAAGCGGGACUUCUGUUUCGCUAUUAUAAUGAGGAAUAACCAAAGGUCAUUCCGAUUAGCAACUGAUGGGAAAGUCUGGUGCCAGCAGCCGCGGUAAUACCAGCGUCAGUAGC